rnacentral:misc_RNA from 1 species
GUCUCUUGAAGCUCUCUUUUGACAUUUUCAAGGCCUCCAAUGUCUUCCCAUGAUACAUUAGGCACUUCAACAACUGUUUCACGCAAUGCAGAUGGAUUGCUUGUUCCUAGAGCAGUUUGGAAGUGCUCAUUUGUGACAGCCAUUGAAUUCAAUAUUUCAGCAUCAAUGGAAUCAUCUUCCAGAUCAAUGACAUCCAUUUUCUCUCUAAUGCACUGAAGUGCAGCUUCAGUGCAAAGAGCAGCAAGAUCUGCACCGACAUAACCAUGUGUAUCUUUUGAUAUUCUUUCCAAAUCAACUUCUUCUGCAAGCUUCAUAUUCUUGGUAUGAAUACGAAGAACUUCAAGACGUCCAACUUCAUCAGGAACACCAAUGUCAAUUUCCCGAUCAAACCUACCAAACCUUCUGAGAGCGGGAUCAAUGCUAUUAGGACGAUUGGUAGCUCCCAUAACUAUGACAUGAGCACGAGAUUUCAGUCCAUCCAUCAGAGUCAGGAGCUGUGAAACAAUCCUUCUCUCAACUUCACCAUGUGUCUUCUCCCGCUUAGGAGCAAUUGAAUCAAUCUCAUCA